CCAGACUCCUACGGGAGGCAGCAGUGGGGGAUAUUGCACAAUGGGGGAAACCCUGAUGCAGCGACGCCGCGUGGGUGAAGAAGUAUUUCGGUAUGUAAAGCCCUAUCAGCAGGGAAGAAAGAAGACGGUACCUGACUAAGAAGCCCCGGCUAACUACGUGCCAGCAGCCGCGGUAAUACGUAGGGGGCGAGCGUUAUCCGGAUUCACUGGGUGUAAAGGGAGCGUAGACGGCCGUGCAAGCCAGGAGUGAAAGCCCGGGGCCCAACCCCGGGACUGCUCUUGGAACUGUGCGGCUAGAGUGCGGGAGGGGCAGGCGGAAUUCCUGGUGUAGCGGUGAAAUGCGUAGAUAUUAGGAGGAACACCAGUGGCGAAGGCGGCCUGCUGGACGACAACUGACGGUGAGGCGCGAAAGCGUGGGGAGCAAACAGGAUUAGAUACCCUUGUAA
rnacentral:rRNA from 1 species